AUCAGCUGGUACAUCACAAGAACUAAAGUAACUCUGGAGCCAGAGGUGGAACCUAUGCAAAGAGAAUGGCUCCAACCUUCAAGAUUGAGCAUCAUAAAUAAUUAAUUUCAACUCUGGUGGAAGGGACUAGUUCCCCAACGGAAAAGAAGAGGGGACCUAUGGCUAGCACCAAGGGAUUCUGGGCAGGCAAGACUACAGACACCCUGUGCAGAUGCCCUUCACCACAGAGGCUGGGAGCCUGAGAACUACAGAUCCCAGAAUCCCUUGCAAGCAGGGACCUGGGUUGGAGUGCACCUGCGUGAGGUUAGGAAGGAGAAAGAGAAGAGCGAACAUGAGAUUUUGUAGUGACCUCUUGGAAUCUGCCUAAAAUUCACCCGCUGUGGUCUGCAGAGGGCUCUGGUCAGCAUGGCGGGCUCCUCUGUUCCUAUGGCUUCCUGACUCUGACAGCGGCAGUGACCUGAGACGUGGGCUGGUUUACCUUCACUGUUGUUCCUCCAGCCCUUCCAUUGGCUGUGUAACCACUGAAGUCCUUGUAUUAAGCCCCCUCCACCU